rnacentral:rRNA from 1 species
UGUGACCUACGGGAGGCAGCAGUAGGGAAUCUUCCACAAUGGGCGAAAGCCUGAUGGAGCAACGCCGCGUGGGUGAAGAAGGUCUUCGGAUCGUAAAACCCUGUUGUUAGAGAAGAAAGUGCGUGAGAGUGACUGUACACGUUUCGACGGUAUCUAACCAGGAAGCCACGGCUAACUACGUGCCAGCAGCCGCGGUAAUACGUAGGUGGCAAGCGUUAUCCGGAUUUAUUGGGCGUAAAGGGAACGCAGGCGGUCUUUUAAGUCUGAUGUGAAAGCCUUCGGUUUAACCGGAGUAGUGCAUUGGA